UUCGCAAUGCCCGAAAGGGUGACGAAGCGACGCCGCGUGGGUGAGGAAGGCCCUCGGGUUGUAAAGCCCUGUCAGGAGUUAAGAAAUGUAGAUACGCUAAUAUCGUAUCUAUUUGACAAAGGCUCCAAAGGAAGCCACGGCUAACUCUGUGCCAGCAGCCGCGGUAAUACAGAGGUGGCAAGCGUUGUUCGGAAUUAUUGGGCGUAAAGAGCACGUAGGUGGAUUUGUAAGUCAGGUGUGAAAGCCUUCUGUUCAACGGAAGAAUUGCAUCUGAAACUACAAACCUUGAGUAUAGGAGGGGAGAAUGGAACUUCUGGUGGAGCGGUGAAAUGCGUAGAUAUCAGAAGGAACGCCGGCGGCGAAAGCGAUUCUCUGGCCUAUUACUGACACUCAGUGUGCGAAAGCUAGGGGAGCAAACGGGAUUAGAUACCCCGGUAGUCCUAGCCGUAAACGAUGGGCACUAAGUAGAGGGGUUUU
rnacentral:rRNA from 1 species